GACGAAUGCUGGCUGCGUGCUUAACACAUGCAAGUCGAACGUUGAAGGGGAGCUUGCUCCCCGGAUCAGUGGCGAACGGGUGAGUAACACGUGGGCAACCUGCCCCUCACUCUGGGAUAACUUCGGGAAACCGGUGCUAAUACCGGAUACGACCGGGAGCGACAUCGCUCCUGGUGGAAAGAAUUUCGGUGAGGGAUGGGCCAGCGGCCGAUCAGCCAGUUGGUGGGGUAACGGCCGACCAAGGCCACGACGGGUAGCCGGCCUGAGAGGGCGACCGGCAGCACUGGGACUGAGAAACGGCCCAGACUCUUACGGGAGGCAGCAGUGGGGAAUAUUGCGCAAUGGGCGAAAGCCUGACGCAGCGACGCAGCGUGAGGGACGAAGGCCUUCGGGUUGUAAACCUCUUUCAGCGGGGACGAAGCGAAAGUGACGGUACCCGCAGAAGAAGCACCGGCUAACUACGUGCCAGCCGCCGCGGUAAAAC
rnacentral:rRNA from 1 species